AGGACGAACGCUGGCGGCGUGCUUAACACAUGCAAGUCGAGCGGUAAGGCCUUUCGGGGUACACGAGCGGCGAACGGGUGAGUAACACGUGGGUGAUCUGCCCUGCACUCUGGGAUAAGCCUGGGAAACUGGGUCUAAUACCGGAUAUGACCUGCUCUCGCAGUGGGGUGGGGUGGAAGAAGUUAUUCGGUGUCAGGAGUGGGCCCGGCCGGCCGUAUCAGUCGUUGUUGGGUUGGGGUAAGUACGGUCCGUACC
rnacentral:rRNA from 1 species